rnacentral:rRNA from 1 species
CUUGUACACACCGCCCGUCACACCAUGGGAGCGGGUUUUACCAGAAGUAGGUAGCUUAACCGCAAGGAGAGCGCCGCCCACGGUGUGGCUAAUGACUGGGGUG